AUGGCAGAAUGCUUCAAUAAGGUUCUCAAGGGUGUACGUGCAUUACCCGUGACGGCAAUAGUUCAAUACACAUUUGACAAGAUGAAUGAAUACUUUUUGAAGCACUCAAUGGAGACUGAUAAGCAGAUUGCUGGUGAGAACAAGGAUAAGCACAAGUACAAUUUCCCACCAAAGGUUGAAGAAUGGUUGAAAUUUCAAUCAUGAAAGGCAGACUCCGAAGAAGCUGUUCUAUAUGACGACAACGAGUGGAAGUAUGAGGUGAAAGAGCCCGGAGGAACCACAAAUGAUGGCCGCCAGCACGGAGGCCGGGCUUUCAAGGUCUCCCUAACACGGUGUGAUUGCAGCUGCAUGAGGCCGUCUUUGCUUCAUCUCCCAUGCUCGCACUUGUUAAAUGCAUCCCGGGUUAGGAAUGUGGACGUCAAUCACCCUCUAACCAUGAGGGAGUCCGAGUUCUCAAUCAUGACGGUAAAGAAGACAUGGACUCCACGGUUCCAGCCAUACUUGGACCAAUCACAAUGGCCGGAGUAUCAUGGAGUUCAACUAUGGCCGGAC
rnacentral:rRNA from 1 species